GAUUAUAACUACACAAUGAAUAUUAACAUAACUAUCAAUCUAUAUGCAGUACCACCACCAACUGCAAUUGAGUGGGUAAAACAUGAACCCAGAGAUAUCAAGGAAACAGAGCCCAGUGUCGAACCGAUGGACGUCGAUCCGUUUGAGGAAAA